CCGGAUAAUCAUGCUACAGUGAUCUCACGUUAAUGGUGACACGUCACCUCUGUCACUGUAAUUAAUCUCGGGUUAAUUCAAAACCGUUUCAAAUUUAAACCCUAAAUAAGUCAAACGACAAAAGUUUUCAAAAUAUUAAACCAAAGUGUUUGGUUUGUACUAAAUAUUACAUAGAUAAUUAUGGUGUAGGAGAUACAGUUUUAUAAAAUGCAUAAAUGUUUUAAAUUAAAUUAAAACAGAAAAGAAACUGCAAAAAUAAUAAAAAAACAAAAAAAGGAAAGAGAGAAAGGCCCCCCACUGGGCUUCGGCCCAGCAGGCCGGCCCAUUCGGCCACCGGCCCAACCGGCCACCAGCCGGCGCCCCCAAAACCCCCACUCCUCCCGUGACCUAGAUCGACCCCAACCACCCACUUCCCCCACUCCCUCGUUUCCUCCCCCCUCCCGAUCCGAUCUGGAUCGUGGGAACGACUCCGCCGCCCAAAACGAACCGCGCCGCCGCCUNNNNNNNNNNNNNNNNNNNNNNNNNNNNNNNNNNNNNNNNNNNNNNNNNNNNNNNNNNNNNNNNNNNNNNNNNNNNNNNNNNNNNNNNNNNNNNNNNNNNNNNNNNNNNNNNNNNNNNNNNNNNNNNNNNNNNNNNNNNNNNNNNNNNNNNNNNNNNNNNNNNNNNNNNNNNNNNNNNNNNNNNNNNNNNNNNNNNNNNNNNNNNNNNNNNNNNNNNNNNNNNNNNNNNNNNNNNNNNNNNNNNNNNNNNNNNNNNNNNNNNNNNNNNNNNNNNNNNNNNNNNNNNNNNNNNNNNNNNNNNNNNNNNNNNNNNNNNNNNNNNNNNNNNNNNNNNNNNNNNNNNNNNNNNNNNNNNNNNNNNNNNNNNNNNNNNNNNNNNNNNNNNNNNNNNNNNNNNNNNNNNNNNNNNNNNNNNNNNNNNNNNNNNNNNNNNNNNNNNNNNNNNNNNNNNNNNNNNNNCGUGCCCCGGCUUCCUGACGCUGGUCGCGGCCCCCUUCCCCUCUGCGCCCGCCGUGGUCGCGUCCCGGCUCCCUCCGCCUCCCUACCGUUGCCAGCCCCGCCCCAGGCUGCCGUGCCUGCCACUGCCAUGCUGGCCGCCUCCGCCGGGGCCCCUCAAUGGUUGCCGGUCGCGUCCUCGCCCCAGCUACCACCCCCCUACCACCGCAUCCGCCGCGGCCCGCUCCCUUCCAUGGCCGGCGUCGUGCCCCGCCAUGGCUGCCGACAAGGCAGCGCCCGGUCCAGGCGACCCGGCGCCCGCAACUGCGCCCGCAACUGCGCCCGUUCGGGCGACAACCGUUGCCCCGGUGCCCAAAACCCGUUAAGGCCCCCUAUGCCUAUGACAGGGGGGCCCCACGACCAGAACGUUUUUAACAAAAAGAAGAAAAAGAAAAAUAAAUAAUAAAUAUAAUAAUUAAAAUGUUAAUUAAUUAAUUAGAGAAUUAAUUAAAUUGGAUUAGAUUAACCUAAUCAUUUAGUUAAAUCUAAUUAGCCCUAUUUAAUUACUAUGAGCCUAUGACAUAUGGGCCCCAUGCCCCUUUAAAGAAAAGAGGAAUUAGAAAAUUAUAAUAAUUAAUUAAUUAGGAUAAUUAAUUAACUUAAUUAAUUCUGUUUAGCUAACCUAAACCUAAUUAGACUAAUUAAUUCUGAUAAUGAGAUAACAGUCAAUGACCGACGGGCCCCGCCCACCAGUUGACUCGUCAACGGUCAGAGUUGACCGCUGACAUCAUGUUGACGUCAUAAUAGUAUUUCCUAAAUUAAUUAAUUCUGUUAGUCCUAAAAAUGAUUUGAAUCUUUAAUAAUUAAUAUAAAAUAAACCGUAGCUCGGAUGAAAAAACUUUGUACAUGAAAGUUGCUCAAAACGACGAGACGAAUCCGGAAACGCAGCCCGUUCGUCCGCCACACAUCCCUAACCUAUCCAACUCGCAACUUUCCCCCUCCGGCUCCUUUGCCCGAAAACACGAAACACCGGGGAUACUUUUCCGGAUGUUUCCCCUUCCCCGGUAUCACCUCUUACCGCGUUACGGCACCCCUAGCACCGAUACUUGUCAUGUCAUACAUCACUAUGCAUCUAUUUACUUAAAUAUUUAUUGUUUCUUCCCCCUCUUCUCUUGCUAGACACCGAGACCGACGUCGUUGCUACCCAGUACGACUACGGAGUUGACGACCCCUCUCUCUUGCCAGAGCAACCAGGCAAGCCCCCCCUUUGAUCACUAGAUAUCGCCUACUCUUCUCUAUACUGCUUGCAUUAGAAUAGUGUAGCAUGUUACUGCUUUUCGUUAUUCCUAUCCUGAUGCAUAGCCUGUCCUUGCUACUACUGUUGUUACCAUUACCUGCUAUCCUACUGCUUAGUAUAGGAUGCUAGUGUUCCAUCAGUGGCCCUACACUCUUGUCCGUCUGCCAUGCUAUACUAUUGGGCCCUGAUCACUUCGGGAGGUGAUCACGGGCAUAUACGAUAUACUUUACACAGUUACAUUACCGGUGAUACUAUUCGGAGAUGGGGGCUGAAGGGGCAGGUGGCUCCAUCCCGGUAGAGGUGGGCCUAGGUUCCUGACGGCCCCCGAUGGUUACUUUGAGGCGGAGCGACAGGGCAGGUUGAGACCACCUAGGAGAGAAGUGGGCCUGGCCCUGGUCGAUGUUCGCGGAUACUUAACACGUUUAACGAGAUCUUGGUAUUUGAUCUAAGUCUGGCUACUGGCCUAUACGCACUAACCAUCUACGCGGGGACAGUUAUGGGCACUCGACGUUGUGGUAUCAGCCGAAGCACUUCGUGACGCCAGCGACUGAGCGGCGCGCGCCGGGUUGGACCGCGUAACAUGACUUCCUUUGAAAUGGAGGUUGCUAGGUCUGCUCUCCGGCCGCGUACGCAACGUGCAGGUGUGCUAUGGGCGAUGGGCCCAGACCCCUGUGCGCUUAGGUUUAGACCGGCGUGCUGGCCUCUCUGUUGUGCCUAGGUAGGGCUGCGACGUGUUGAUCUUCCGAGGCCAGGCAUGACCCAGGAAAGUGUGUCCGGCCAAAUGGGAUCGAGCGUGUUGGGUUAUGUGGUGCACCCUUGCAGGGAAGUUAAUCUAUUCGAAUAGCCGUGAUCUUCGGUAACAGGACGACUUGGAGUUGUACCUUGACCUUAUGACAACUAGAAUCGGAUACAAAAAAAACACCCUUCCAAGUGCCAGAUACAACCGGUGGUCGCUCUCUCACAGGGCGACGAGGGGAGGAUCAUCUGUUAGGAUUAUGCUAUGCGAUGAUACUUGGAGGACUUCAGUCUGCUCUCUUCUACAUGUUGCAAGAUGGAGGUGACCAGAAGCGUAGUCUUCGACAGGGCUAGCUAUCCCCCUCUUAUUCUGGCAUUCUGCAGUUUAGUCCACAUAUGAUACCCUUAUUCCAUUUGAUACCCAUUCAUAUGUAGUGUAGCUCCUUGCUUGCGAGUACUUUGGAUGAGUACUCACGGUUGCUUUCUCCCUCUUUUCCCCUAUCCCUUCUACCUGGUUGUCGCAACCAGAUGUUGGAGCCCAGGAGCCAGACGCCACCUUCGACGACGACUCCUACUACACCGGAGGUGCCUACUACUACGUGCUGCCCGCUGACGACGGCCAGGAGUAGUUAGGAGGAUCCCAGGCAGGAGGCCUGCGCCUCUUUCGAUCUGUAUCCCAGUUUGUGCUAGCCUUCUUAAGGCAAACUUGUUUAACUUAUGUCUGUACUCAGAUAUUGUUGCUUCCGCUGACUCGUCUAUGAUCGAGCUCUUGUAUUCAAGCCCUCGAGGCCCCUGGCUUGUAAUAUGAUGCUUGUAUGACUUCUUUUUAUUUGUAGAGUUGUGUUGUGAUAUCUUCCCAUGAGUCCCUGAUCUUGAUCGUACACAUUUGCGUGUAUGAUUAGUGUAUGAUCAAAUCGGGGGCGUCACAAGUUGGUAUCAGAGCCGACUGCCUGUAGGAAUUCCCCUUCCACACUCCUUGGCCGAAGUUGAGUCUAGACAUUACAAAACUUUUACUAACAUGGCUGUGUGCCUUACGGGCCCACGUCGCCAUUGGGUGGUGUUAGGAUCUUUUACUCCUCGAUCCUUACUCUGGGACACUGAACUCUCUCCUACUCAGGUUAAACGAUUUUACUAACUCUAACACUAGGAUCCCGUGACCACGUUCACCCCAAAGUUGGAUAAGCCCUAGUUAUUCUUUAGAGUAGUAAUUGAACAUUAUCCACAUUGUCAUUUGACUCCUGUGAAAACAUCUUUGUUUUCAGAUGGAACCCACGAGGCAGGUCGUGCGCCACACGACGGCCAUUGGUGCCUCAGGAUCACCUGCUGUGUUAGUUGAGAUGAUGACCUAUCUGGGUUAUCGCUGGCACCCUGAGUACACCGUCUAUGAGGAGUAUCAGGACUUCAACCAAGAGCAGUACCGUGCCAUCGUCCACCUCUACUCUCGGGAGUAUGACUCCACUACUGUGCUGCACACUGCUCAUGGUGUUGGAGUGACUAUCGAUAUGGCGGUCCACGAUGCUGCUUAUGCUGCUCUGACACGUCUUCGUGGAGAGUAUCAGGAGUUGGAUACCUCCCCCUUCAGGCACAUUGCUAUCGCAUCCGUUGUUGGUGCGGAGGGAUACUACACUGCUGCCUACUCCACUGUCACCCGAGAGCCCUUCUACCAUCAGAACCUGGUUCUGCAUGCUGAUGGGCUGGAUAGAGCUAACCAAGCUCUUCGCCACGAGUUGUACACCACCCGUCAGCACCUGUAUUGUGCUCUGACGCUGUUGCACCCCUCUGUCCGAUCUGGUGAUCUGUCGCAUUCUGCGGUCUACCAUGCCAGGACCGUGAUGCCUCAGGGCGUUGGCUGGCCAGAUGUGGGAGGCUACUCUCCUGCACUUGGUCCUCUCCUGCCACCUGCGCAUCGGGUUCCGCACCAGAGUAUCCGCGGACCCCAGGCUGCUCGCGUGGAGGUCUUCCCUUCGCGACACUACCAGCUGUCAGGCUACACCUACCUCCACAGUUCCACCUGGGACUGAUGAGGGCUUGCUUAUUAGUGUUAGAUGCAUUCGUCGCGAGCCUGCGUGCCGCCUAUGAUGUCUUAGCCUGUGUACCGAACUCUGUGUAACGAACUCUAUGCAUGAUCUCUUUUGUAAGAUAUGCCGACUACUAUGUAGUAUCUAUCGUGCUGCUUUCGUUGUGCAUGUUUCAUCAUGAAUGAUUCUCGUCUUUGCAAAUUUCUCAAUGCUGAACUACCCCUGUUAUAUAUUAGCAGGAUGGUUAGACCAGGCGGUCGUGGUCGUGGUGGCAACGCCCCACCACCGCCUGAGUACAUGACUGGUAUGAUCCAACAACUUGAGAUGAAUCGCCAGUUCAUGGAGAAUAUGAUGGCUCAGUUUCCUCGCCCCAAUAUGAACCAGCAGCCAACCCCAGUAACUCUGCAUGAUUUCAUGCGCCUGAACCCAACUGUGUACCGCAGCUCAACUCAGCCUCUGGAUGCUGAUGACUGGCUCCGUGACAUCACCUAUGAGAUGGAGUCUGCUGAUGUAGCCCCUGCCAGCUAUGUCACCUUUGCUUCCUUCUUCCUGAAGGGACCCGCGGCUCAAUGGUGGGACAGCCACAGGCGUACUCUGCCAGCUGGAACAAUCAUCACCUGGCCAGACUUCCAAGCUGCCUUCCAUGCUCGCUUCAUUCCUCAUGGAGUCAUGGACCGGAAGAAACGUGAGUUCCGCAACCUCACCCAAGGCAACAAAACUGUGGAAGCUUACCAGCGGGAGUUUCUUGACUUGUCCCGCUAUGCUGAAGAGGACAUUGCAACUGAUGCACGCAGACAGGAGAGGUUCUGUGAUGGCCUUCAAGCUAACAUCAAGCUCGCACUUCUAGUGCAUGACUUUGCUGAUUUCGCCACUCUGGUGAACAAGGCCAUCAAUGUUGAAACUGGUCUGCAAGAAUACCAGAGCUCUCACAGGCGCAACCGUGACAUGGGCUCAUCUUCGGGCCCGUCUUCGCAGAAGCGCAAGAUAUGGAUUCCCAACAGCAUGUACCAGCCGAAUGCACCUGCCCCAAGGCAGACCUAUGCUGCACCUCGUCUGCCUGCUCCUCCAACUAGGCAGCCAAGACUUCCAGCUCCACCACUACAAGCUCCUGUUCCCACUCCUAAUAAUGGUCUGUGCUACAAGUGUGGUCAACCAGGUCACCUUGCCAGGAACUGCAAUCAGAAUCAGAAUCAACUGUCCCUUCCCGCAACUGGCCGUGGAAGCAACCAGCCCCGCAACAACAGUGCCAAGUCUUAUGGUCGUGUUCAUGCCAACCACGUUGAUCUCAACGAAGCUCAAGACUAGCCUGCUACUGUGAUGGGUACACUCCUCGUAAACUCAGUACCUGCGUCUGUUUUAUUCGAUUCAGGAGCAUCGCAUUCAUUCAUGUCAGAAGAUUUUGCAUACAAGCAUGACGUUAAAUGUGAGGAGAUGAACACUUCGGUAUUGGUAAAAACCCCCGUGGGACAAUGUCAAACCUCGCUGGUUGGCAUCGAUGUCCCCGUGGAAAUUGAAGGGCUGGAAUUCUAUGCCUCUCCCAUUAUCCUGAAGUCGUCUAACAUCGACCUCAUUCUGGGAAUGGAUUGGUUGAAAGCGCAUACUGCUUCUAUAGUUUGCGCCACUAAGGUCGUCCAUCUGCUACACCCUUCUGACGAAAUAAUAGCUUACCAAGCUCAUCUAGUUCAGAACGCCGAGGCACGACUUUAUGUCUUGAAUGCGCUGAACGCUGCGCCACUCGAGGGCAUUGAGAACAUUCCCGUCGUUCGUGAAUUCCAAGACGUCUUCCCAGAAGAACUUCCAGGGACUCCCCCUGCUAGAGCUGUCGAGUUCAUCAUCGACUUGAAACCCGGCACCACCCCUAUAGCUAAACGACCCUAUAAGAUUCCGCCGCAUGAACUCAUUGAGCUUAAGGAGGAAAUCGACAAAUCACUUGUCAAAGGUUUCAUUCGCCCAAGUUGCUCACCUUGGGGAGCACCUUCUCUUUUUGUUAGGAAGAAGGAUGGGACAAACCGAUUGGUCCAAGACUACCGUCCUAUAAACCAAGCUACCAUUCAGAAUAAAUACCCUCUUCCUCGGAUCAAUGAUCUUUAUGAUCAACUGGCUGGCUCAUCAGUGUUCUCCAAACUCGACUUGAGGUUGGGUUACCACCAGAUCCGAGUUCGUGAGGAGGACAUCCCAAAAACCGCCUUCGUGACUCGGUAUGGAUCAUACGAGUACACCGUCAUGUCAUUCGGCUUAACGAAUGCUCCCGCCACCUUCUCUCGUCUGAUGAACUAUAUAUUCAUGGAUUACCUCGACAAGUUCGUCAUGGUUUAUUUGGACGAUAUCCUUGUAUUUUCCAAGAACAAGGAAGAACAUGCUGAACAUCUUCGUCUUGUGCUGGAAAAGCUUCGGGAGCAUCAGCUGUAUGCUAAGUAUUCCAAGUGUGAAUUCUGGCUCCCCGAAGUAACCUAUCUUGGGCAUGUCAUCUCCAAGAAUGGUAUUGCCGUCAAUCCUGAACGAGUUCAUGCUAUUCUCGAUUGGACUCCUCCGAAGAAUGUCAAGCAAGUCCGAAGUUUUCUCGGUCUCGCCAGCUAUUGCCGCCAAUUCAUCGAGAACUUCUCCAAGAUUGCCAGGCCUCUGACUAAUCUGUUGCAUAAGGGUGUCAAGUUCGAAUGGACAGACAAGUGUCAGGAAAGUUUCCAGGCGCUCAAAGACAAGUUGACUUCUGCCCCCGUGCUUGCUCCACCUGAUACUAAGAAGGACUUCGUCAUUUACUGCGACGCUUCCCGUCAAGGAUUAGGUUGUGUCCUAAUGCAAGAGCGCAGAGUGAUUACUUAUGCCUCUCGUCAACUGCGCCCUCACGAAGAAAACUACCCAGUUCACGACCUCGAGCUUGCUGCUGUCAUUCAUGCACUAAAGCAGUGGCGGCACUACCUUCUCGGUAAUCAUUGCGAGAUCUUCACCGAUCACCAAAGUCUGAAGUAUAUGUUUACUCAGCCAGACCUGAACCUCCGUCAGCAAAGAUGGAUGGAGACUGUUGCAGACUUUGACGUGGAUAUAUCAUAUACCCCCGGCAAGUCUAUUGUAAUGGCUUAUGCCCUGAGCCACAAGUCUUACUGCAACCACCUCCAGGUUCACAAAGUUCAGCCCUCGCUUGUCGAAGAAUUUAGAAAGCUGAACCUCCAUAUUGUUCCUCCUGGAGCACUCGCUCCCCCUCCCCCGGAGUUCCGCAAGAUGAAUCUUCUUGUUGUUACUAAAGGUUCUCUAAAUACCCUGGCUGUCGUACCAGAUCUCGUAGCUGGUAUAAAGACUAUUCAAGGUUAUGACUCUGAAGUUCAUAAGAUUAAACGCCAUCUAGCAGAAGGAAAGCCCUCAUUCUUCUCUAUCGCCGAUGAUGGCGCCUUGUAUUUCAAAGGCCGCCUAGUGGUACCAUGUUCGAAGAAAAACCUGGAUAAGACUAAAAGGGUUAUGCAAGAAGCCCAUGAUACGCCUCUGUCCAUCCGUCCUGGUAGUACGAAGAUGUACCAGGAUAUUCGUCAAAGGUUCUGGUGGUCUAAUAUGAAACAGGACAUUUCUCGUUAUGUUGCUAAGUGUGACGUUUGUCGCCGAAUCAAAGCAGAGCAUCAAAGGCCUGCUGGAACUCUGCAACCUAUCUCUAUUCCGGAAUGGAAAUGGGACCAUGUUGAAAUGGACUUCGUCACUGGAUUUCCCAAAUCGCAGAAAGGUAAUGAUGCUAUUCUUGUCGUCAUUGACCGGCUUUCCAAAGUUGCUCAUUUUCUGGCGGUCAAAGAGACAAUCACUGCUAGUCAGCUUGCUACUCUCUACAUGUCCAGAAUUGUUUCACUUCACGGAAUUCCACUGGUUAUCAGUUCAGACCGUGGCAGCUUAUUCACUUCAAGGUUUUGGGCGAGUUUCCAAGAAGCUAUGGGAACUCAUCUGUCGUUCAGUACUGCGUUUCAUCCUCAGUCGCAAGGACAGGUUGAACGUGUCAACCAAGUUCUCGAAGACAUGCUUCGAGCUUGUGUAAUCUCAUUCGGCAAGAAAUGGGAGGAAUCUCUUCCAUAUGCCGAGUUCCCUUAUAAUAAUAGCUAUCAAGCUAGUCUGAAGAUGUCCCCCUUCGAAGUGCUAUAUGGACGAAAGUGUCGAACCCCUCUGAACUGGUCAGAAACUGGGGAACAUCCACUCUUUGGUCCGGAUAUUAUCCAACAGGCCGAAGAACAAGUUCGCAUUAUUCGCGAGAAUCUCAAGACUGCUCAGUCACGUCAGAAAAGUCAGUAUGACCGUCAUCACCAAGACAUGGUCUACCAACCUGGCGAAAAGGCUUAUCUUCGAGUUACACCAAUGAAGGGUGCACACCGCUUCGGGAUCAAAGGAAAGCUAGCUCCCCGCUAUAUCGGCCCCUUCACUAUUCUCGAAAGGCGUGGAAAAGUGGCAUAUCAACUGGAGCUUCCGUUGAACCUUUCUCAGGUUCACGAUGUGUUCCACGUGUCACAACUCCGACGCUGCUUCAAGGACCCAAUCCGAGCAGUGGAUCAUGAAGCGCUUGAAUUGCAACAGGACCUCUCCUAUAAAGAGCAUCCGGUCCGCAUUCUCGACCAAGCCGAACGCCGCACACGUCAGAAAGCGAUCAAGUUCCUCAAGGUCCAGUGGUCGAAUCACUCUGAAGACGAAGCCACCUGGGAAUGCGAGGAUCGUCUUCGUGAUGAAUACCCCGCACUGUUUCCUUCUACCUCCUAAAUCUCGGGAUGAGAUUUCUUGUAGUGGAGGAGAUUUGUAACGCCCGGAUAAUCAUGCUACAGUGAUCUCAUGUUAAUGGUGACACGUCACCUCUGUCACUGUAAUUAAUCUCGGGUUAAUUCAAAACCGUUUCAAAAUUUAACCCUUAAUAAGUCAAACGACAAAAGUUUUCAAAAUAUUAAACUAAAGUGUUCGGUUUGUACUAAAUAUUACAUAGAUAAUUAUGGUGUAGGAGAUACAGUUUUAUAAAAUGCAUAAAUAUUUUAAAUUAAAUUAAAACAGAA
rnacentral:lncRNA from 1 species